GAUGAACGCUGGCUACAGGCUUAACACAUGCAAGUCGAGGGGAAACGACGGGGAAGCUUGCUUCCCCGGGCGUCGACCGGCGCACGGGUGAGUAACGCGUAUCCAACCUGCCUCUGACUGAGGGAUAACCCGUCGAAAGUCGGCCUAAUACCUCAUGGUAUCGUCUGCGGGCAUCCAACGACGAUUAAAGAUUUCAUCGGUCAGGGAUGGGGAUGCGUCUGAUUAGCUUGUUGGCGGGGUAACGGCCCACCAAGGCUACGAUCAGUAGGGGUUCUGAGAGGAAGGUCCCCCACAUUGGAACUGAGACACGGUCCAAACUCCUACGGGAGGCAGCAGUGAGGAAUAUUGGUCAAUGGGCGAGAGCCUGAACCAGCCAAGUAGCGUGCAGGAAGACGGCCCUAUGGGUUGUAAACUGCUUUUAUGCGGGGAUAAAGUGAGGGACGCGUCCCUCAUUGCAGGUACCGCAUGAAUAAGGACCGGCUAAUUCCGUG
rnacentral:rRNA from 1 species